rnacentral:lncRNA from 1 species
CUUAUAUUCUGUCCUCCAAAAAGAGUUGUUCCUAACACAUGAAAAAAAUGCAUUUUUUUCCUGUAACUUCAAAGGGAUGAAGAACAGACAAGAAUAUGGCCAGCUGAUAUCUUGGAGAUGUUCCCAAGGUUAAUCACAUCCAUGAGAACAGCGAAUUUCCAGCACAGAUGGCCUGGGAGCGCUGAGCAUUUCCAGCUCCUGGCAUCACACUGGGAUCUAGCUGUAUUCAGCAGCUCACCACAGUGAACUUUUUCGGUGAGGACAGAAAAGAUAGAUGUUUGCAGAUGGCACAUUUGAGGAUCAUACUUCCCAUACGUGUUGCAAGAUUAAGUAAAAGCCAGGGAGGUGAUGGGAGCCAAGAGAGAAAGGGCCUGUGUCCUCAGCAUCUCGGUGCGUGACUCCAGAGGAUGAGAGAUAGACUUCAACUGGUGGCAGGUGGAAUGUACCUGCCCUUGAGUGAGAAAUCAGCUGUCUCUUCAUGCUUUCCAGAACGUUCAGUCUCUCAAUUCAGAUUGAGAUGCCUUUAUCUUCCCUGGGAUCUAAAAAAGGAUAAGUAGUACGCUCACAUAAAUCUAACUGCAGGAUUAAGGCAUCUGUCCACAAGUAAAAAAAAGGUAAGUGAGGCAGUUAUUUUCCCAAGACAAGAAAAUGCCAUUUUUGGAUAUAAUACUAAAAUGGCUUGUGAUAUUCUGUGUUCUUUAGAAUAACCCUAAUAUACCAUACAGAUCAAAGUAUUGCAGUAUAUUUUGUCAACUUGCAUGUAUUCUGAAUUUCUGAAAUUGUA